UGAGGAACAUGACCUUCGGCGGGGGAUAGCCGGCCCAACGGCCGGGUAAUACCGCGUACGACCACUCGGGGACAUCCCUAGGUGGUGAAAGCAGCAAUGCGCCGAUGGAGUGCCUCGCGGCCUAUCAGCUUGUUGGUGAGGUAAUGGCCCACCAAGGCGACGACGGGUAGCCGGCCUGAGAGGGUGACCGGCCACACUGGGACUGAGACACGGCCCAGACUCCUACGGGGAGCAG
rnacentral:rRNA from 1 species